CCUACGGGCGGCAGCAGUGGGGAAUAUUACACAAUGGGGGAAACCCUGAUGCAGCAACGCCGCGUGGGUGAAGGAGCGUUUCGGCGCGUAAAGCCCUGUCAGCGGGGAAGAAGAAAGACGGUACCCGACCAAGAAGCCCCGGCUAACUACGUGCCAGCAGCCGCGGUAAUACGUAGGGGGCGAGCGUUAUCCGGAAUUACUGGGUGUAAAGGGAGCGUAGACGGCGAGGUAAGCCUGAAGUGGAAGCCCGCGGCCCAACCGCGGAACUGCUUUGGGAACUGUUUUGCUGGAGUACAGGAGAGGUAAGCGGAAUUCCUGGUGUAGCGGUGAAAUGCGUAGAUAUCAGGAGGAACACCGGCGGCGAAGACGGCUUACUGGACUGUAACUGACGUUGAGGCUCGAAGGCGUGGGGAGCAAACAGGAUUAGAUACCCCAGUAGUC
rnacentral:rRNA from 1 species